UAUUCUUCUAUGUUUUGUUUACAGCCACAUACCCCACGGUUGAGUGCUCCCUGUCAUCCAGUGUGAAGGUUCCACUUACUGCAACCUCAACAAAACUAAAUCCUCAAGAGGAAUUUGAAAAAAAUAUGGAGAGGCUCUCUGAUAUUUUGGCGUCAUGUCCUUCUGCUGCUCAGCCUCAAAGUAGCUCUGCAUCAUCAUGGUCUUUUCGGCAGCAGAAAGCCUCAGAGCGCUGGAAAGAAGCAAGACCAUACCACCUAAAAUGCCUUAUUUCAAAAGAGGCUGUUGGUCAUCCCCUGUGUUGCCUUUGCAACGAGCCUGCUGUUAUUAGGUGCAGAGAGUGUCUUCCUGAGGAGUGGUUCUGUGGGGACUGUGAUGUAUUGCAUCACAAAAAAACAGCCACUCCACAACCGGGAAUGCGUGAUUCAUGGUUUUUUUGAAGCCAUUCCUCCAACCACAUGCAUCAUUAAAGGGGAAGAUGGAUAUUGCACCCAUGAGCAAGCUUGCAUUUUGCCAACUGUGAAGGUGCCAGACUGCUCCUGUGGAGGCACAAACUUCACUGUGUUACCAGGCAAACCAGUGAUUUUAAUUACCAUCAAUGGGCGUUUUGACUUGCAUCAGCCACUGUGUGAAUGUCAAACAUGCCAGCAGCAGUGGACCCCUGACUUUAAAGACCUCCUAAGAAGUGGAUAUUGGCCAGCCUCCGUCACCAAUUCCACACUUUAUACACUGGA